rnacentral:rRNA from 1 species
CCUACGGGUGGCAGCAGUGAGGAAUAUUGGUCAAUGGACGAGAGUCUGAACCAGCCAAGUAGCGUGAAGGAUGACUGCCCUAUGGGUUGUAAACUUCUUUUAUAUGGGAAUAAAACGUUCCACGUGUGGGAUUUUGUAUGUACCAUAUGAAUAAGGAUCGGCUAACUCCGUGCCAGCAGCCGCGGUACUACGGAGGAUCCGAGCGUUAUCCGGAAUUAUUGGGUUUAAAGGGGGCGUAGGUGGAUUGUUAAGUCAGUUGUGAAAGUUUGCGGCUCAACCGUAAAAUUGCAGUUGAAACUGGCAGUCUUGAGUACAGUAGAGGUGGGCGGAAUUCGUGGUGUAGCGGUGAAAUGCUUAGAUAUCACGAAGAACUCCGAUUGCGAAGGCAGUUCACUGGACUGCAACUGACACUGAGGCUCGAAAGUGUGGGUAUCAAACAGGAUUAGAUACCCGUGUAGUC